UACGGAGGGAGCUAGCGUUGUUCGGAAUUACUGGGCGUAAAGCGCGCGUAGGCGGCUUUGUAAGUUAGAGGUGAAAGCCCGGAGCUCAACUCCGGAACUGCCUUUAAACUGCAUCGCUUGAAUCCAGGAGAGGUGAGUGGAAUUCCGGAGUGUAGAGGUGAAAUUCGUAGAUAUUCGGAAGAACACCAGUGGCGAAGGCGGCUCACUGGACUGGUAUUGACGCUGAGGUGCGAAAGCGUGGGGAGCAACAGGG
rnacentral:rRNA from 1 species